rnacentral:rRNA from 1 species
GCAGCCUGAUGCAGCGACGCCGCGUGAGGGAUGACGGCCUUCGGGUUGUAAACCUCUUUCAGCAGGGACGAAGCGCAAGUGACGGUACCUGUAGAAGAAGGACCGGCCAACUACGUGCCAGCAGCCGCGGUAAUACGUAGGGUCCGAGCGUUGUCCGGAAUUACUGGGCGUAAAGAGCUCGUAGGUGGUUUGUCGCGUUGUUCGUGAAAACUCACAGCUUAACUGUGGGCGUGCGGGCGAUACGGGCAGACUUGAGUACUGCAGGGGAGACUGGAAUUCCUGGUGUAGCGGUGGAAUGCGCAGAUAUCAGGAGGAACACCGGUGGCGAAGGCGGGUCUCUGGGCAGUAACUGACGCUGAGGAGCGAAAGCGUGGGGAGCGAACAGGAUUAGAUACCCUGGUAGUCCACGCCGUAAACGGUGGGUACUAGGUGUGGGUUUCCUUCCUUGGGAUCCGUGCCGUAGCUAACGCAUUAAGUACCCCGCCUGGGGAGUACGGCCGCAAGGCUAAAACUCAAAGAAAUUGACGGGGGCCCGCACAAGCGGCGGAGCAUGUGGAUUAAUUCGAUGCAACGCGAAGAACCUUACCUGGGUUUGACAUGCACAGGACGUGCCUAGAGAUAGGUAUUCCCUUGUGG